CAGAUUGAACGCUGGCGGCAGGCUUAACACAUGCAAGUCGAGCGGGGAAAGGUAGCUUGCUACCUAACCUAGCGGCGGACGGGUGAGUAAUGCUUAGGAAUCUGCCUAUUAGUGGGGGACAACAUUCCGAAAGGAAUGCUAAUACCGCAUACGUCCUACGGGAGAAAGCAGGGGACCUUCGGGCCUUGCGCUAAUAGAUGAGCCUAAGUCGGAUUAGCUAGUUGGUGGGGUAAAGGCCUACCAAGGCGACGAUCUGUAGCGGGUCUGAGAGGAUGAUCCGCCACACUGGGACUGAGACACGGCCCAGACUCCUACGGGAGGCAGCAGUGGGGAAUAUUGGACAAUGGGGGGAACCCUGAUCCAGCCAUGCCGCGUGUGUGAAGAAGGCCUUUUGGUUGUAAAGCACUUUAAGCGAGGAGGAGGCUACUAGUAUUAAUACUACUGGAUAGUGGACGUUACUCGCAGAAUAAGCACCGGCUAACUCUGUGCCAGCAGCCGCGGUAAUACAGAGGGUGCGAGCGUUAAUCGGAUUUACUGGGCGUAAAGCGUGCGUAGGCGGCUGAUUAAGUCGGAUGUGAAAUCCCUGAGCUUAACUUAGGAAUUGCAUUCGAUACUGGUCAGCUAGAGUAUGGGAGAGGAUGGUAGAAUUCCAGGUGUAGCGGUGAAAUGCGUAGAGAUCUGGAGGAAUACCGAUGGCGAAGGCAGCCAUCUGGCCUAAUACUGACGCUGAGGUACGAAAGCAUGGGGAGCAAACAGGAUUAGAUACCCUGGUAGUCCAUGCCGUAAACGAUGUCUACUAGCCGUUGGGGCCUUUGAGGCUUUAGUGGCGCAGCUAACGCGAUAAGUAGACCGCCUGGGGAGUACGGUCGCAAGACUAAAACUCAAAUGAAUUGACGGGGG
rnacentral:rRNA from 1 species